rnacentral:rRNA from 1 species
UACGAAGGGGGGCUAGCGUUGUUCGGAAUUACUGGGCGUAAAGCGCACGUAGGCGGGUUGUUAAGUCAGGGGUGAAAUCCUGGAGCUCAACGUCCAGAACUGCCUUUGAUACUGGCAACCUAGAGACUGGAAGAGGUUAGUGGAAUUCCCAGUGUAGAGGUGAAAUUCGUAGAUAUUGGGAAGAACACCAGUGGCGAAGGCGGCUAACUAGUCCAGCACUGACGCUGAGGUGACGAAAGCGUGGGGAGCAAACAGG